rnacentral:rRNA from 1 species
CCUACGGGAGGCAGCAGUAGGGAAUCUUCCGCAAUGGGCGAAAGCCUGACGGAGCAACGCCGCGUGAGUGAUGAAGGUCUUCGGAUCGUAAAACUCUGUUAUUAGGGAAGAACAUACGUGUAAGUAACUGUGCACGUCUUGACGGUACCUAAUCAGAAAGCCACGGCUAACUACGUGCCAGCAGCCGCGGUAAUACGUAGGUGGCAAGCGUUAUCCGGAAUUAUUGGGCGUAAAGCGCGCGUAGGCGGUUUUUUAAGUCUGAUGUGAAAGCCCACGGCUCAACCGUGGAGGGUCAUUGGAAACUGGAAAACUUGAGUGCAGAAGAGGAAAGUGGAAUUCCAUGUGUAGCGGUGAAAUGCGCAGAGAUAUGGAGGAACACCAGUGGCGAAGGCGACUUUCUGGUCUGUAACUGACGCUGAUGUGCGAAAGCGUGGGGAUCAAACAGGAUUAGAUACCCUGGUAGUCCACGCCGUAAACGAUGAGUGCUAAGUGUUAGGGGGUUUCCGCCCCUUAGUGCUGCAGCUAACGCAUUAAGCACUCCGCCUGGGGAGUACG